rnacentral:lncRNA from 1 species
UGGAAAGACACCAAAAUCACAUUUCUUCCAGUUUGGACAAAGAGGCUGACUCGCUGAAGAAAAUACAAGACUGCUUUACUACACUGGUAGUUGCUCAUGUAAUUACAAUGAUAGAGCACAGACUACAGAGGGUGCCUGAAGCCUUUGCCUUUCCAUAAGCAGAUGAUGCUGUAAACCUCCCAGCUCAGUGGAGCAGUGGCAGAAGGAUACAGGGCUGAAAACAAAGACAUCCAAACCUUGAGCCAUUUAGAAGAGGAAGAAGCCAAAAUCUCUGCCAGAGGUUUGACUGCUGGGUUUACUCAUGGCUUCAGGACAGGGUCCAAGAGGGACCCAAGGGACCCGUGUGUGUAUGUGUGGUGGGCGAGGGAAGGCAGAGGAGCACCCACCUGCACGGGCCAGCAGAGACCCAUACGCUCAGCACUAACCACAGGUUUAGUUGUGAAGCAGCUCAGCCUCUGCAGGCAGCUAGGAAGCAAGGUAGACUCAGAAAAGAAGUGGAUGCUCCAUCUGAUGACCUAGCCUACUCAAUGGAGACAGUUCCUGCAGGAGAAAACAGAGCAAAACAAAACAAAAGAAAAGAAAGAAUAAAACAAAACAAAACCAAAACCUGGGAAAUGCUUCUCCAUCUAAUCCCAACUAUCUUGUCCUGCUGCUAAGAGGAACCAUGUGGCUGUUACAGAGACGUGCAGGAGAACGGUGUU